CUGAGACACAAUAAAACAUACAUAACCAACAGGUACCUGGACUCCUGGUUCACUGUGUACACCUGGAGACAAUAAAACAUACAUAACCAACAGGUACCUGGACUCCUGGUUCACUGUGUACACCUGAGACACAAUAAAACAUACAUAACCAACAGGUGCCUGGACUCCUGGUUCACUGUGUACACCUGGAGACAAUAAAACAUACAUAACCAACAGGUACCUGGACUCCUGGUUCACUGUGUACACCUGAGACACAAUAAAACAUACAUAACCAACAGGUGCCUGGACUCCUGGUUCACUGUGUACACCUGGAGACAAUAAAACAUACAUAACCAACAGGUACCUGGACUCCUGGUUCACUGUGUACAC